AUUGAACGCUGGCGGCAGGCCUAACACAUGCAAGUCGAGCGAGCGGCGGACGGGUGAGUAAUGUCUGGGAAACUGCCUGAUGGAGGGGGAUAACUACUGGAAACGGUAGCUAAUACCGCAUACCAUCAGAUGUGCCCAGAUGGGAUUGGCUAGUAGGUGGGGUAACGGCUCACCUAGGCGACGAUCCCUAGCUGUUCUGAGAGGAUGACCAGCAACACUGGAACUAAAAAACGGGCCAUACGCCUACGGGAGGCAGAAGUGGGGAAGAUGGAACAAUGGGGGCAAGCCUGAUGCAGCCAUGUCGCGGGUGUGAGGAAGGCCUUCGGGUUGUAAAGCACUUACAGCGGGGAGGCGUUACCCGCAGAAGAAGCACCGGCUAACUCCGUGCAAGCAGCCGCGGUAAUUC
rnacentral:rRNA from 1 species